rnacentral:lncRNA from 1 species
CAAUGGGCCACCUGGUGGUUUUCAAGGUCAAGCUCAGUACCAAGGGCAUGUAAAUCCGGCUGGACAAGAUCAAGGUUAUAACAACCCACAAGAGCGCAGGAACUUCCCGCAAGGGCAGGGAGGAGGUUAUAGGCCUGGUGGUCCUUCAGCACCUGGGUCUUUUGGUCAACAAUCAGCACCUGGGUCUUUUGGUCAACAAUCAGCACCUGGGUCAUAUGGCCGACCAUCAGCACCUGGGUCUUAUGGCCAACCAUCAACACCUGGAUCUUAUGGCCAACCUUCGACACCUGGAUCUUAUGGUCAGUCAUCAACACCUGGUAACUAUGGGCAGGCACCUCCAUCAGCGAAUCCAGGUGGUAGAGUUCCUGGUGCGAAUCCUAGU